GCUACGCUUGCGGCAUAUGUCAUACGCGGGUCAUAUGAUAAUAGUUCUACGCUUGCAAGAAAUUAAACGAGUAUCAAUACAACAAAAUGUUCAUGCAGGUAAGUUAUGCUCGUGUACAUAAGUGUAAACAACUCUAUGAAAUAAUUACAAUGUAAACAGUUUAAUAUCGACAAAUGUUCAUAUAUAAGGUCAUACUGCCUCUUUUCAUCCUCACCAGCAAUCCCCCUCCCCCACCCCGGUAUUUUUAAUACUGGCUAAAACCCGGCGUUGUUGAUGUAUUUUAAGCCUGGUGGUCGGCGGACUCAACUCUUCGGUUUCCAGACGACUGUAACAGCGAAGCCUUGCGGACCUUUGCGACCAACUGCGGGCUCUCGGAGCACUCCAUGGGGAACCACUACAUCCUGAGGGAUCCAAAGAGCAAUGACAUCAACAACAUCGUCAUAGUGAUACCAGAUGACUUGCGAGAUUUCGGCACGUGCGAGAAGAUCGUUCGAGAUCUCAAUGAGAGAUGCAAUAAGGAUUACUUCGACUACUAACGCUAUGUUAACAUCAAUCUUGGCUUUUCACGUUUCUUCGUCGUUAUACUCUUCGAUCAGAUUUUUAAUAAGAACUGUAUUUUAGUGGUAUAAAUUAUUACAUUCGUACAAUUGUUUAUCAAAUACGAUACAAUACUUUAGUGUGUUCUAAAGACAAACUAUUUUAACAAACAAUCUGGUCUUAAUGCAUGUAGUGAAAGUGUCAUCCUUGUUCUGCGUGUGUAAUUACUGUCUAAUCAUGGACGACUCUUUCCGCAUUUAGGGAAUAGUUCGUACUCAAAAAGUAAUUUCUAAACGAAAGUCCAAUAAUGGCCCAAAGUGGUGUCCCUGAUUAGCCUGUUUGGACUGCUCAGAUUAUUUAUUACGACGCUUUGCGCACAUGCGUUAAGCCCAGUUUUUCAAGAAUGCUGUUAAUUUAAACAAAACGAAUCGAUUGGUUUCAGGCUGAGACCAGGAGCUGUAAACUUUUAUUUGCCGUAAAUAUCUGUAAAUUUCUAAACUUUGUUUUAUGUAUUUAAGGCCGCUUCUGCUAAUACAUAUUAUCGUCUCGAACUUUUUGUAUUUGUUAAAUGAACAUACUUUGUCUGUGGAAAGUGUUGCAAAAUACACUCACCUUUGAUAAAAAGGCUUUUUAUACUUUGUAUUCGAUGUACUGGGGUCUACAUUGAAGAUAUAAUAACAGAAAGAAAAUUA